ensembl:lncRNA
CUUUUGAACCAGAGGGGAAGGUGCGCUACAUCUCUGGUGAAAACUGUCUGAGAAGAGCAACAGCAUUCAUUGAAUCAUAGAACCAUAGAAUCACCAAGGCUGGAAAAGACCUCCAAGAUCAUCUCAUCCAGCCACCCACCUACCACCGGAUGCGGUUGUUCCUCCCAAUGGCUCUGGACUGGUGCUGCAGUAACCCAUAGCAGCCAGCAGAUGGCGCCCUUAGCACAGUCAAGCGAAGAAUCCUUCCUGCUCCGUGUGUGAAUUGUGGCAAACACCGAGCGUGCAGAAACAGCGCUGAGAAUUCUUUAACCAUCAAGUAUCGAUCACUGGCCCCUUUCAGUACACGUAUAUGAGAAUGUCUACGUGUCAGCAUUUUGCUUAACUGGAAAUAUAUUCUCAGUAUGGAAGGAAAUUGCCGUAUUAUGCUCAGGAAUGGCAUAUGGAAGCAGGGCCUUGCCAGGAUGCCUUUGCAGCUGUAUCAACUGACCAUAUCUUUUCCUAGCUCAGCUUAAUACCCCCAGAGUGACCAUAUGCUUCUACAUGUUCUGAUUGUGAGGUUAUUAGAAGAGGUGCAGAGGUGGUUUCUAGCAAGGAUACAUGACCAAGUGGCAAGCCUGAGAUAUUGCUCAAAUACCAGGAGACAGGAAGCAGAGAUGAAAAGAAAACAUGUAUUCAAGGGAUGUGGAAAGGAAUAACCAAACAAAUUAUGAGGAUUCCCAGCACCAUCAACAUCAACAGACGAAGGCCCUCCUUGACAAGACCACUAAGCCAUCCCGUGACCUUGAGCUAAUAACAGAAAGUCUAUGGUAGCGUGAUUUUGUAGCAAGGUAUGCUGUAAGCUGUUUUGAUCAACCAGAAGCUGUUCAAAAAAAGAAAAAGUGGAACCCUUGUGGCAAGUGAUAAAAGCUCAAUGUUAUCGUUACAUUCAGGGGUUAACAGAGCACGUUUCAUGCAGUCAGAGCGGUUAGAGAGACUAAUGUUUCAAAACUGCACAAACAUAGGAGCAAACAUAGUUAAUUUUCCUAAAUAACAAUGUCCACCUAUCACCUGGCUGGGGAUGCCCUGCCAUGCUCUGUUUCCACAGAUCAAAAAGAUGUCUGGAGGCAAUGCCUUCGCAGAGCCAUUGCACCACACAGUCGUGUUGUUACCUUUUACCAUAGGCACCCAAACCUUGUCUUUUUGAUGUAUUGGUGCCACAGUAAUCACCAACAUUCCGAUAAAUAAAUUUAUC